UAACUUUUGGUGCUUGCACCGAAAGACGAGUGGCGAACGGGUGCGUAACGCGUAUGCAAUCUGCCUUUUACUAGGGUAUAGCCCAGAGAAAUUUGGAUUAAUCCCCUAUAAUAUCAUUUAAUCGCAUGAUUUUAUGAUUAAAGCUUCGGCGGUAAAAGAUGAGCAUGCGUCCUAUUAGUUAGUAGGUGAGGUAACGGCUCACCUAGACUCCGAUAGGUAGGGGUCCUGAGAGGGAGAUCCCCCACACUGGUACUGAGACACGGACCAGACUCCUACGGGAGGCAGCAGUGAGGAAUAUUGGACAAUGGACGAAAGUCUGAUCCAGCUAUGCCGCGUGCAGGAUGACGGCCCUAUGGGUUGUAAACUGCUUUUAUACAGGAAGAAAAACUCCGACGUGUCGGAACUUGACGGUACUGUAAGAAUAAGGAUCGGCUAACUCCGUGCCAGCAGCCGCGGUAAUACGGAGGAUCCAAGCGUUAUCCGGAAUCAUUGGGUUUAAAGGGUCCGUAGGCGGUUUUUUAAGUCAGAGGUGAAAUCCUGCAGCUCAACUGUAGAAUUGCCUUUGAUACUGAAAGACUUGAGUUAUUGUGAAGUGGUUAGAAUGUGUGGUGUAGCGGUGAAAUGCAUAGAUAUCACACAGAAUACCAAUUGCGAAGGCAGAUCACUAACAAUAUACUGACGCUCAGGGACGAAAGCGUGGGUAGCGAACAGGAUUAGAUACCCUGGUAGUCCACGCCGUAAACGAUGGAUACUAGCUGUAUGUCUACUUCAGGUAGAUGUGUGGCUAAGCGAAAGUGAUAAGUAUCCCACCUGGGGAGUACGAUCGC
rnacentral:rRNA from 1 species